GACGAACGCUGGCGGCGUGCUUAACACAUGCAAGUCGAACGGAAAGGCCUCUUUCGGGGGGUACUCGAGUGGCGAACGGGUGAGUAACACGUGAGUAACCUGCCCUUGACUUUGGGAUAACUUCAGGAAACUGGGGCUAAUACCGGAUAGGAGCUCCUGCUGCAUGGUGGGGGUUGGAAAGUUUCGGCGGUUGGGGAUGGACUCGCGGCUUAUCAGCUUGUUGGUGGGGUAGUGGCUUACCAAGGCUUUGACGGGUAGCCGGCCUGAGAGGGUGACCGGCCACAUUGGGACUGAGAUACGGCCCAGACUCCUACGGGAGGCAGCAGUGGGGAAUAUUGCACAAUGGGUGGAAGCCUGAUGCAGCAACGCCGUGUGCGGGAUGACGACCUUCGGGUUGUAAACCGCUUUCGCUCAUGACGAAGCUUUGUGUGACGGUAGUGGGUAAAGAAGCACCGGCUAACUACG
rnacentral:rRNA from 1 species